UACGUAGGAGGCGAGCGUUGUCCGGAAUCACUGGGCGUAAAGCGCGUGUAGGCGGGAAGGCAAGUCUGCUGUGAAAGCGCCUGGCUUAACUGGGCGAGGUCGGCGGAAACUGCUUACCUGGAGGACGGUAGAGGGGGGUGGAAUUCCCGGUGUAGUGGUGAAAUGCGUAGAGAUCGGGAGGAACAUCGGUGGCGAAAGCGCUCUACUGGACCGCAACUGACACUCAGGGACGAAAGCUAGGGGAGCGAAUGGG
rnacentral:rRNA from 1 species